rnacentral:rRNA from 1 species
UACGAAGGGGGCGAGCGUUGUUCGGAUUUACUGGGCGUAAAGGGCGCGCAGGCGGUCUUGAAAGUCAGGCGUGAAAGCCCCGGGCUUAACCUGGGAAUUGCGCUUGAUACUCUGAGACUGGAGUACGGGAGAGGAGAGUGGAAUUCCCAGUGUAGAGGUGAAAUUCGUAGAUAGUUGGGAAGAACACCAGUGGCGAAGGCGGCUCUCUGGACCGUAACUGACGCUGAGGCGCGAAAAGCGUGGGGAGCAAACAGGG